rnacentral:rRNA from 1 species
UACGUAGGGUGCGAGCGUUGUCCGGAAUUACUGGGCGUAAAGAGCUCGUAGGUGGUUUGUCGCGUUGUCCGUGAAAUUCCCUGGCUUAACUGGGGGCGUGCGGGCGAUACGGGGCAGACUGGAGUACUGCAGGGGAGACUGGAAUUCCUGGUGUAGCGGUGGAAUGCGCAGAGUAUCAGGAGGAACACCGGUGGCGAAGGCGGG